AUACGGAGGGUGCAAGCGUUAAUCGGAAUUACUGGGCGUAAAGAGUACGUAGGUGGUUUAUUAAGUCAGAUGUGAAAGCCCCGGGCUCAACCUGGGAACUGCAUUUGAAACUGAUAAGCUAGAGUAUGGUAGAGGGGGGUAGAAUUUCUAGUGUAGCGGUGAAAUGCGUAGAUAUUAGAAGGAAUACCAGUGGCGAAGGCGGCCCCCUGGACCAAUACUGACACUGAGGUACGAAAGCGUGGGGAGCAAACGGGAUUAGAAACCCCAGUAGUCC
rnacentral:rRNA from 1 species